rnacentral:rRNA from 1 species
UACGUAGGGGGCCAGCGUUGCUCGGAAUCACUGGGCGUAAAGCGCACGUAGGCGGAUUGCUAAGUCAGGGGUGAAAUCCUGGAGCUCAACUCCAGAACUGCCUUUGAUACUGGCGAGCUUGAGUCCGGGAGAGGUGAGUGGAACUGCGAGUGUAGAGGUGAAAUUCGUAGAUAUUCGCAAGAACACCAGUGGCGAAGGCGGCUCACUGGCCCGGUACUGACGCUGAGGUGCGAAAGCGUGGGGAGCAAACAGG